UACGUAGGGAGCGAGCGUUGUCCGGAUUUAUUGGGCGUAAAGCGCGCGUAGGCGGUUUGAUAAGCCGGGUGUGAAACCUCCAAGCUCAACUUGGAGCGGCCACUCGGAACUGUCAUGACUUGAGUCAGGUAGGGGAACACGGAAUUCCAGGUGAAGCGGUGAAAUGCUUAGAUAUCUGGAGGAACACCAGUGGCGAAGGCGGUGUUCUGGGCCUGUACUGACGCUGAUGCGCGAAAGCGUGGGGAGCGAACAGG
rnacentral:rRNA from 1 species